GCGCGCAGCGUCGAAACCGGUCCUCGCGGGCCGGCGAGAGGGAACCCGGUGAGAAUCCGGGACUGUCCCGCAGCGGUGAACAGGAACGACCGCCGUCAUGAGCACUGGAUCCAUUCCGGGAAGCGACGGCCAGUAGGCGACAUCCGGGGCCCUCUCCGGACCGGUCCGCACGACCGAUGCCUGUGAGUCCGAAGACCUGCCGGUUGUGCCGGGUACGC
rnacentral:ncRNA from 2 species